CAAAUGUCUCCUUGAAAGGGGAGGGUGGUCCUGAGAGGGGACAUUAGGACAUAGCAUGAGAGCCACCAGGCUCUGGGCUGCAGAGGAGGUUGGAGGUGACCUUCCAGAAGGAAUGAGGACAUGGCAGACCAGCUGCCCCCUCCCCCAGGGUCAUAGCAUGACUCUGCUGUUAUGGACCACACCCUCCCACUGCUAUGAUGGACCACACCCUCCCACUGCUAUGAUGGACCACACCCUCCCACUGCUAUGAUGGACCACACCCUCUCACUGCUGUGAUGGACUACACCCUCCCUCAUCUAUGAUUACCUGCACCCUCUCUCCUCAAUGAUGGACCACACCCUCCCUCCUCUAUGAUUACCUGCACCCUCCCUCCUCUAUGAUGGACCAACCCUCCCUCCUCCAUGAUGGACUGCACCCUCCCUCCUCUAUGGUGGACCUAAGAGUGCAUGAUGGACUGCACCCUCCUACUGCUAUGAUCAACAACACCUUCCCACUGUGAACCAAGAUACAUAAAACUUUUCUCUUAAGUUGCUUUU